UUACGGGAGGCAGCAGUGGGGAAUAUUGGACAAUGGGCGCAAGCCUGAUCCAGCAAUGCCGCGUGUGUGAAGAAGGCCUUCGGGUUGUAAAGCACUUUUGUUUGGGAAGAAAUCCGGUUGGUUAAUACCUGAUCGGGAUGACGGUACCAAAAGAAUAAGCACCGGCUAACUUCGUGCCAGCAGCCGCGGUAAUACGAAGGGUGCAAGCGUUAAUCGGAAUUACUGGGCGUAAAGCGUGCGUAGGUGGUUUGUUAAGUCAGAUGUGAAAGCCCUGGGCUCAACCUGGGAACUGCAUUUGAUACUGGCAGGCUAGAGUGCGGUAGAGGGUGGUGGAAUUCCCGGUGUAGCGGUGAAAUGCGUAGAGAUCGGGAGGAACAUUCGUGGCGAAGGCGGCCACCUGGACCAGCACUGACACUGAGGCACGAAAGCGUGGGGAGCAAACAGGAUUAGAUACCCCUGUAGUCU
rnacentral:rRNA from 1 species